rnacentral:rRNA from 1 species
CCUACGGGAGGCAGCAGUGAGGAAUAUUGGUCAAUGGCCGAGAGGCUGAACCAGCCCAGUCGCGUGAGGGAAGACGGCCCUACGGGUUGUAAACCUCUGUUGUCGGGGAGCAAAGCGAGUCACGUGUGACUCAUUGAGAGUACCCGAAGAAAAAGCAUCGGCUAACUCCGUGCCAGCAGCCGCGGUAAUACGGAGGAUGCGAGCGUUAUCCGGAUUUAUUGGGUUUAAAGGGUGCGCAGGCGGAGGUGCAAGUCAGCGGUCAAAUUGCGGGGCUCAACCCCGUACUGCCGUUGAAACUGCAGCCCUUGAGUGCGCGAGAAGUAUGCGGAAUGCGUGGUGUAGCGGUGAAAUGCAUAGAUAUCACGCAGAACUCCGAUUGCGAAGGCAGCAUACCGGCGCGCAACUGACGCUCAUGCACGAAAGCGUGGGUAUCGAACAGGAUUAGAUACCCGGGUAGUC